UACGGGGGGGGCAAGCGUUGUUCGGAAUUACUGGGCGUAAAGGGCUCGUAGGUGGCCAACUAAGUCAGACGUGAAAUCCCUCGGCUUAACCGGGGAACUGCGUCUGAUACUGGAUGGCUUGAGGUUGGGAGAGGGAUGCGGAAUUCCAGGUGUAGCGGUGGAAUGCGUAGAUAUCUGGAGGAACACCGGUGGCGAAGGCGGCAUCCUGGACCAAUUCUGACACUGAGGAGCGAAAGCCAGGGGAGCAAACGGG
rnacentral:rRNA from 1 species